CCCUGGUUAGCUCAGUUGGUAGAGCGCUCCACUUAUGAUGGAGAGGUCCCGGGUUCAAUACCCGGACCAGGCG
rnacentral:tRNA from 1 species